AGUGAACGCUGGCGGUAGGCCUAACACAUGCAAGUCGAACGGCAGCACAGGAGAGCUUGCUCUCUGGGUGGCGAGUGGCGGACGGGUGAGGAAUACAUCGGAAUCUACUCUGUCGUGGGGGAUAAGGUAGGGAAACUUACGCUAAUACCGCAUACGACCUACGGGUGAAAGCAGGGGAUCUUCGGACCUUGCGGGAUUGAAUGCGCCGAUGUCGGAUUAGCUAGUUGGCGGGGUAAAGGCCCACCAAGGCGACGAUCCGUAGCUGGUCUGAGAGGAUGAUCAGCCACACUGGAACUGAGACACGGUCCAGACUCCUACGGGAGGCAGCAGUGGGGAAUAUUGGACAAUGGGCGCAAGCCUGAUCCAGCCAUACCGCGUGGGUGAAGAAGGCCUUCGGGUUGUAAAGCCCUUUUGUUGGGAAAGAAAUCCAGCUGGCUAAUACCCGGUUGGGAUGACGGUGCCCAAAGAAUAAGCACCGGCUAACUUCGUGCCAGCCGCCGCCGUAA
rnacentral:rRNA from 1 species